GAGUACAUAGUUCAGUAGGGAAGAAUACUGCCAUUGCACGGCAGAGGUCGCAGGUUCGGUGCCUGCUGUACUCCCGA
rnacentral:tRNA from 1 species